rnacentral:rRNA from 1 species
AGCAGCCGCGGUAAUUCCAGCUCCAAUAGCGUAUAUUAAAGUUGUUGCAGUUAAAAAGCUCGUACUUGAAUUUCGGGAUCAAUAUGUCGGUCGUGCCUUCGGUACGUACUGGUAUCAUUGGUCUCUCCUUUCUGACGAACCAUGAUGUCAUUAAUUUGGUGUUAUGGGGAGUUAGGACUGUUACUUUGAAAAAAUUAGAGUGUUUAAAGCAGGCUUUAGCUUGAAUACAUUAGCAUGGAAUAAUGAAAUAGGACGUUCGAACCUAUUUUGUUGGUUUCUAGGAUCAACGUAAUGAUUAAUAGGGAUAGUUGGGGGCAUUAGUAUUCAAUUGUCAGAGGUGAAAUUCUUGGAUUUAUUGAAGACUAACUACUGCGAAAGCAUUUGCCAAGGAUGUUUUCAUUAAUCAAGAACGAAAGUUAGGGGAUCGAAGACGAUCAGAUACCGUCGUAGUCUUAACCAUAAACUAUGCCGACUAGGGAUCGGAUGAUGUUAAUUUUUAAUGACUCAUUCGGCGCCUUAC